rnacentral:rRNA from 1 species
UGGGGAAUAUUGGACAAUGGGCGAAAGCCUGAUCCAGCAAUGCCGCGUGAGUGAUGAAGGCCUUAGGGUUGUAAAGCUCUUUUACCAGGGAUGAUAAUGACAGUACCUGGAGAAUAAGCUCCGGCUAACUCCGUGCCAGCAGCCGCGGUAAUACGGAGGGAGCUAGCGUUGUUCGGAAUUACUGGGCGUAAAGCGUGCGUAGGCGGCCAUUCAAGUCAGAGGUGAAAGCCUGGAGCUCAACUCCAGAACUGCCUUUGAAACUAGAUGGCUAGAAUCUUGGAGAGGUGAGUGGAAUUCCGAGUGUAGAGGUGAAAUUCGUAGAUAUUCGGAAGAACACCAGUGGCGAAGGCGACUCACUGGACAAGUAUUGACGCUGAGGUACGAAAGCGUGGGGAGCAAACAGGAUUAGAUACCCAGGUAGUCCCUGAGCGGGCUGGCAAGGCGCAU